rnacentral:snRNA from 1 species
AUAUGUAUGUAUAUAUAUAUAUAUAUACACACAUAUAUACAGGGUUUCUCUGUAGCUUUGGAGCCUGUCCUGGAACUAGCUCUUGUAGAGCAGGCUGGCCUCGAACCCAUAGUGCGUGCUCAGUCAAAGAAGACAACCUUCCCCAAAUAGAGAAAGAUCAGUCUUUAAUCAAGGGUAUACAAGUAGCUGCACUCCCCUGCUGAACCUCCAAACAAGCUCUCAAGCCAUAUAUUUUAGUUAAAAAAAAUCAUAAAUUUAAAAUACCAGAGUGUCAUGGUAUUAGAAUACUUUCCUGACUCCUC